rnacentral:rRNA from 1 species
UGAAGACGGCCUGCGGGUUGUAAAGCCCUUUAGGCGGGGAGGAACGACGGGACGCGGAUACCGUUUCGAAGUGACGUUACCCGCAGAAUAAGCACCGGCUAACUCCGUGCCAGCAGCCGCGGUAAUACGGAGGGUGCGAGCGUUAAUCGGAAUUACUGGGCGUAAAGCGUGCGUAGGCGGUGGGGUCAGUCAGCCGUGAAAGCCCUGGGCUUAACCUGGGAACGGCGGUUGAGACGGCCCGACUUGAGUGGGCUAGAGGAUCGUGGAAUUCCGGGUGUAGCGGUGAAAUGCGUAGAGAUCCGGAGGAACACCGAUGGCGAAGGCAGCGGUCUGGGGCCACACUGACGCUGAGGCACGACGGCGUGGGGAGCAAACAGGAUUAGAUACCCUGGUAGUCCACGCAGUAAACGAUGAGCACUAGACGCCGGGGGGGUGACUUUUCGGUGUCGUAGCUAACGCGCUAAGUGCUCCGCCUGGGGAGUACGGCCNNAAGGUNNNNAAACUCAAAGGAAUUGACGGGGGCCCGCACAAGCGGUGGAGCAUGUGGUUUAAUUCGAUGCAACGCGAAGAACCUUACCUGGCCUUGACAUCCGGGGNUAUCGCCAGAGAUGGCGAGUGCCGCAAGGAGCCCCGAGACAGGUGCUGCAUGGNCUGUCGUCAGCUCGUU